rnacentral:rRNA from 2 species
UUGCUGACGAGCGGCGGACGGGUGAGUAAUGCUUGGGAACAUGCCUUGAGGUGGGGGACAACAGUUGGAAACGACUGCUAAUACCGCAUAAUGUCUACGGACCAAAGGGGGCUUCGGCUCUCGCCUUUAGAUUGGCCCAAGUGGGAUUAGCUAGUUGGUGAGGUAAUGGCUCACCAAGGCAACGAUCCCUAGCUGGUUUGAGAGGAUGAUCAGCCACACUGGAACUGAGACACGGUCCAGACUCCUACGGGAGGCAGCAGUGGGGAAUAUUGCACAAUGGGCGAAAGCCUGAUGCAGCCAUGCCGCGUGUGUGAAGAAGGCCUUCGGGUUGUAAAGCACUUUCAGUCAGGAGGAAAGGGUGUGAGUUAAUACCUCAUAUCUGUGACGUUACUGACAGAAGAAGCACCGGCUAACUCCGUGCCAGCAGCCGCGGUAAUACGGAGGGUGCGAGCGUUAAUCGGAAUUACUGGGCGUAAAGCGUACGCAGGCG